ensembl:lncRNA
AAAAUUAUUCAGUGUAGAAUUCCUGGCCUGUGAACCAGAGGCUCCGCACUGUACCAGGCAAAGAUUUUCACCAGCAUUCCGCUUAGCCAAGGCGGAGAUAACAGCGCUGCGAAGCACUUGGAAUAAAUCCGCUCUUCCGAGAUUCCUCCGGGGUGCUCCUCUUCAGCUCUGUUUUCCCCGGGCUUCGUAAGUGCCAUGGCCUGCUGGUGGAGCAAGGCGGGAGGGAGGAGAGCUGCGCGCCGGCGGUGUGCCAGCAUCCCACGUCACGUUGGCCUAAAGAGGUGAUCGCCUCUCGAGAUGAAAUCAGCACACGAGAUUCUAGGCCGUAUGUAAAAGGUGUCUCUGAAACAAAGACAGAAUGAGGAAGAAAGGCCACCUGAAUAUCAACAGCUUCCAUCGGAAGUAAUCUGGGCUCA